rnacentral:rRNA from 1 species
GCAUCGAUGAAGAACGCAGCGAAUUGCGAUAAGUAAUGUGAAUUGCAGAAUUCAGUGAAUCAUCGAAUCUUUGAACGCAGCUUGCGCUCUCUGGUAUUCCGGAGAGCAUGCCUGUUUCAGUGUCAUGAAAUCUCAACCACUAGGGUUUCCUAAUGGAUUGGAUUUGGGCGUCUGCGAUCUCUGAUCGCUCGCCUUAAAAGAGUUAGCAAGUUUGACAUUAAUGUCUGGUGUAAUAAGUUUCACUGGGUCCAUUGUGUUGAAGCGUGCUUCUAAUCGUCCGCAAGGACAAUUACUUUGACUCUGGCCUGAAAUCAGGUAGGACUACCCGCUGAACUUAAGCAUAUCAAUAAGCGGAGGA